rnacentral:rRNA from 1 species
UACGUAGGGGGCAAGCGUUGUCCGGAUUCAUUGGGCGUAAAGAGCGUGUAGGCGGCCAGGUAGGUCGGUUGUGAAAACUGGAGGCUCAACCUUCAGAGGUCGACCGAAACCAUCUGGCUAGAGUCCGGGAGAGGAGAGUGGAAUUCCUGGUGUAGCGGUGAAAUGCGUAGAUAUCGGAAGGAACACCUGUGGCGAAAGCGGCUCACUGGACCAUUACUGACGCUGAGGCACGAAAGCUAGGGGAGCAAACAGG